GACGAACGCUGGCGGCGUGCUUAACACAUGCAAGUCGAACGGAAAGGCCCUGCUUUUGUGGGGUGCUCGAGUGGCGAACGGGUGAGUAACACGUGAGUAACCUGCCCUUGACUUGGGAUAACUUCAGGAAACUGGGGCUAAUACCGGAUAGGAGCUCCUGCUGCCUGGUGGGGGUUGGAAAGUUUCGGCGGUUGGGGAUGGACUGGCGGCUUAUCAGCUUGUUGGUGGGGUAGUGGCUUACCAAGGCUUUGACGGGUAGCCGGCCUGAGAGGGUGACCGGCCACAUUGGGACUGAGAUACGGCCCAGACUCCUACGGGAGGCAGCAGUGGGGAAUAUUGCACAAUGGGCGGAAGCCUGAUGCAGCAACGCCGCGUGCGGGAUGACGGCCUUCGGGUUGUAAACCGCUUUCGCCUGUGACGAAGCGUGAGUGACGGUAAUGGGUAAAGAAGCACCGGCUAACUACGUG
rnacentral:rRNA from 1 species